ACGUUUAUAGUUGCAUAUACGUCUGAAUCUAGCUGUUAUAGUUUAUAGCAGAAAGCUCUGAUGAGUGUAAGGAAUACUUUAGUGCAAUUUCUAGUACACAAAAUUAAAUUACGGGUAUUUUCUUCUUCUUUUGUUUGAGUAUAAAAAUGAAUGAUAAGUUCAAGGAGUGGAAAGGUCGUUACGGUCUGUAUGCCGGUUGACAAUGAAUUAUAAUGUUGCAUGGAUUGCCAACAACCUCUUUAAGGAAAUAAUAAGAAAAAUACUGCUACUUAAGUGGAUAUUGCUUCUGUUUCUUGUGAAGGUGUUCUUUCACUUUGUUGUUUCUCAGCUUUCCCCAGCAUUCUAAGACUUUCUUCCCCUAUUUUGCAAUGCGAUUUGCAUUGAAGCAGAUUUUGGUUGAGGUUGUUAAUAAUAAUUCUGCUGGUGGUAUGAAUUCUUUUCACGAAAAUGGAGCAGCAGAUAAUGGAACGGUGGCUCUUGUGGAACCAUCUCAGUCGAACUUCUCAAAUGCUGAAGGGUUGUAUCUGAGCAAGGGUUCAACUAGAAAUGGCAAUGCAGAGUUGUCGCUUUCUCAAAUGCUGAAGGAUCGUCACUGAGCAAGGGUUCAACUAGAAAUGGCAAUGCAGAGUUGUCACAGUCACAGCACCUAGCUUCUUCAGGAACAGAAAAGACCUACGCGAGUACUGGUGUUAGUACGAGGGGAUCU
rnacentral:lncRNA from 1 species